rnacentral:rRNA from 1 species
AUUGAACGCUGGCGGCAUGCUUUAUACAUGCAAGUCGUGCGGCAGCGCGGGGGCAACUCUGGCGGCGAGCGGCGAACGGGUGAGUAAUACAUAGGAACGUAUCCUGAAAUGGGGGAUAGCUCGGCGAAAGCCGGAUUAAUACCGCAUACGCUCCACGGAGGAAAGCAGGGGAUCGCAAGACCUUGCGUUUCUGGAGCGGCCUAUGUCUGAUUAGCUAGUGGCGGGGUAAUAGCCCACCAAGGCGACGAUCAGUAGCUGGUCUGA